GGAUUAUAUAAGAGCUAAGAUGUGGCAGAAACUGAUGGCAACAAAAAACAUAUUUUCAUUCUCUUGGACAAUACUCAGGAGUGGAAUUGA